CUGAUGCAGCCAUGCCGCGUGUGUGAAGAAGGCCUUCGGGUUGUAAAGCACUUUCAGUUGUGAGGAAAAGUUAGUAGUUAAUACCUGCUAGCCGUGACGUUAACAACAGAAGAAGCACCGGCUAACUCCGUGCCAGCAGCCGCGGUAAUACGGAGGGUGCGAGCGUUAAUCGGAAUUACUGGGCGUAAAGCGCACGCAGGCGGUUUGUUAAGCUAGAUGUGAAAGCCCCGGGCUCAACCUGGGAUAGUCAUUUAGAACUGGCAGACUAGAGUCUUGGAGAGGGGAGUGGAAUUCCAGGUGUAGCGGUGAAAUGCGUAGAUAUCUGGAGGAACAUCAGUGGCGAAGGCGACUCCCUGGCCAAAGACUGACGCUCAUGUGCGAAAGUGUGGGUAGCGAACAGGAUUAGAUACCCUGGUAGUCCACACCGUAAACGCUGUCUACUAAGUGUUUGUGACUUUAAGUCGUGAGUAGCGAAGCUAACGCGCUAAGUAGACCGCCUGG
rnacentral:rRNA from 1 species